AUUGAACGCUGGCGGCAGGCCUAACACAUGCAAGUCGAACGAGUGGCGGACGGGUGAGUAAUGUCUGGGAAACUGCCUGAUGGAGGGGGAUAACUACUGGAAACGGUAGCUAAUACCGCAUACCAUCGGAUGUGCCCAGAUGGGAUUAGCUAGUAGGUGGGGUAAAGGCUCACCUAGGGGACGAUCCCUAGCUGGUCUGAGAGGAUGACCAGCACCACUGGAACUGAGACACGGGCCAGACUCCAACGGGAGGCGGCAUGGGGGAAUAUUGGACAAGGGGCGCAAGCCUGAUGCAGCAAUGCCGCGUGUAUGAAGAAGGCCUUCGGGUUGUAAAGUACUUUCAGCGGGGAGGCGGUACCCGCAGAAGAAGCACCGGCUAACUCCGUGCCAGCAGCCGCGGUAAUUC
rnacentral:rRNA from 1 species